AUUGAACGCUGGCGGCAGGCCUAACACAUGCAAGUCGAGCGAGCGGCGGACGGGUGAGGAAUGUUUGGGAAACUGCCUGUUGGAGGGGGAUAACUACCGGAAACGGUAGCUAAUACCGCAUCUCACCAGCUGUGCCCAGAUGGGAUUAGCUAGUAGGUGGGGUAAUGGAUCACCUAGGCGACGAUCCCCAGCUGGUCUGAGAGGAUGAACAGCCACACUGGAACUGAGACACGGUCCAGACGCCUACGGGAGGCAGCAGUGGGGAAUAUUGCACAAUGGGCGCAAGCCUGAUGUAGCCAUGCCGCGUGUGUGAAGAAGGCCUUCGGGUUGUAAAGCACUUUCAGCGGGGAGGCGUUACCCGCAGAAGAAGCACCGGCUAACUCCGUGCCAGCAGCCGCGGUAAUUC
rnacentral:rRNA from 1 species